rnacentral:rRNA from 1 species
UACGGAGGGUGCAAGCGUUAAUCGGAAUUACUGGGCGUAAAGCGUGCGUAGGCGGUUUGUUAAGUCUGUUGUGAAAUCCCCGGGCUCAACCUGGGAAUGGCAAUGGAUACUGGCAGGCUAGAGUGUGUCAGAGGAUGGUGGAAUUCCCGGUGUAGCGGUGAAAUGCGUAGAGAUCGGGAGGAACAUCAGUGGCGAAGGCGGCCAUCUGGGACAACACUGACGCUGAGGCACGAAAGCGUGGGGAGCAAACAGG